rnacentral:rRNA from 1 species
AUUGAACGCUGGCGGCAGGCUUAACACAUGCAAGUCGAGCGGUAGCACAGGGGAGCUUGCUCCCUGGGUGACGAGCGGCGGACGGGUGAGUAAUGUCUGGGAAACUGCCUGAUGGAGGGGGAUAACUACUGGAAACGGUAGCUAAUACCGCAUAACGUCGCAAGACCAAAGAGGGGGACCUUCGGGCCUCUUGCCAUCAGAUGUGCCCAGAUGGGAUUAGCUAGUAGGUGGGGUAAUGGCUCACCUAGGCGACGAUCCCUAGCUGGUCUGAGAGGAUGACCAGCCACACUGGAACUGAGACACGGUCCAGACUCCUACGGGAGGCAGCAGUGGGGAAUAUUGCACAAUGGGCGCAAGCCUGAUGCAGCCAUGCCGCGUGUGUGAAGAAGGCCUUCGGGUUGUAAAGCACUUUCAGCGAGGAGGAAGGUGGUGAGCUUAAUACGCUCAUCAAUUGACGUUACUCGAAGAAGAAGCACCGGCUAACUCCGUG